rnacentral:rRNA from 1 species
CAGCCGCCGCGGUAAAACGAAGGGUGCAAGCGUUAAUCGGAAUUACUGGGCGUAAAGCGUGCGUAGGCGGUUUGUUAAGUCUGUUGUGAAAUCCCCGGGCUCAACCUGGGAAUGGCAAUGGAUACUGGCAAGCUGGAGUGUGUCAGAGGAUGGUGGAAUUCCCGGUGUAGCGGUGAAAUGCGUAGAGAUCGGGAGGAACAUCAGUGGCGAAGGCGGCCAUCUGGGACAACACUGACGCUGAGGCACGAAAGCGUGGGGAGCAAACAGGAUUAGAUACCCGCGUAGUCCCUGUCUCUUAUAC